CUCUUUCAACUCUACCUUCCUCACUAUCGGCAGUAUUCCUCACCAAACUUCAAGCCCCAACACAGGCCACCAGUUGGGUGGCCAUCUCAUGCUCCAACCGGCGACCGAGGAGGCCAAAACGGAGGCUAAACUGCCCCCAAAACGCUCAAAGCUAAUACCAUUUUUUCUCUCCCCUUCACUCUUGGCCGAGAGCUUCCCCAAAGACCAUAAAGCCGCUCAUCGGCCACCGCGAAACGGUGGCCUAUCUUGCCCCAAAUAUCACCAAACGAGCCUAAACGAAGACCCUUACAAUCCUACCAACCUCCUUUCCUUACUCUAGAUCCAAGACCGAAACCAAGGUCAUGAACCUAAACGGCCAAAGGUUCCUAACACCCCCCUUUCCGGCGACAACUUACCCGGAGACGAGGGCUUCGGUGGCUAAGCUGCUGAGAAGCAUGGUUGCACAGGGCAUGGGUGAGGCGUGGUGUUUUCUGUGGAGCAGGGCAUGGGCAUCCGUUGGGUUGGUAGUGGCUUCGGGUCGGCUACUGGGCCUGAUACUGGGUCGGUUCGGGUCUGAAGUCUGGGUUCCUGGUGAGCUGUUGGAUUGGCUUGUAAUGGUGGACUUCAAGUGGCCUACAAAAAUGUAAAUAAAUAAUAAUAAUAUUAUUUUUUAGAUCCAAAAAAAAAGUAUCUACAGUGAUGAAAUCGUCCAAAACUACAAUAUUAAUAAUUUUAUGUUCACAAC